rnacentral:ribozyme from 1 species
ACCAGUAUUGGGCUAUUGGGCGUAUUCGGCACCCGUUAUGGGAUAAUACAGGCUCUCCCAUCCAACUUCUACUCCGACACGUCCUCGUCGUGUAGAGUGGUAACAUGUGCCAUCACAUAUCCAGGCUUGGGUACACGGACUUGACGCAACCCCUUGGGCGGAUGGUGGCAUAUGGCAAACCAGAAGGGU